rnacentral:lncRNA from 12 species
CUUGACUGCAACAGCUUCCCCUGAGUUGGACAGAUCAUGCAAUGGAGGCCAACUCAGCUUUUCUUCACUAAUCUAUUACCACAGAAUCUGUUAAGCAGCCAGAUGAGCUCUGUCACACAAUAUCCCUGUGACAAAACUCCCCUUGUCCAGUAUCUGCUCCCUCCCUGUGAUGGUGCUGAUAGAGGUGAGUCUGCA